AAUCGCGUCCACGUCAGCGUGAUGUCAAGGUACGCGCCAGGAAAUCGCGUCCACGUCAGCGCGAGUUGCUGACGUGGCAGCAAAUCGUGCCUUCAAGGACACGAUUUGCUGCCACAUCAGCAACUCACGCUGACAUGGACGCGAUUUCCUGGCGUGUACCCUGACAUCACGCUGACGUGGACACGAUU
rnacentral:pre_miRNA from 1 species